CACAAUGGACGAAAGUCUGAUGGAGCAACGCCGCGUGAGUGAAGAAGGGUUUCGGCUCGUAAAACUCUGUUGUUAAAGAAGAACAUAUCUGAGAGUAACUGUUCAGGUAUUGACGGUAUUUAACCAGAAAGCCACGGCUAACUACGUGCCAGCAGCCGCGGUAAUACGUAGGUGGCAAGCGUUGUCCGGAUUUAUUGGGCGUAAAGCGAGCGCAGGCGGUUUUUUAAGUCUGAUGUGAAAGCCUUCGGCUCAACCGAAGAAGUGCAUCGGAAACUGGGAAAC
rnacentral:rRNA from 1 species